GACGAACGCUGGCGGCGUGCUUAACACAUGCAAGUCGAACGGAAAGGCCCUGCUUUUGUUGCGCGCUCGAGUGGCGAACGGGUGAGUAACACGUGAGUAACCCGUCCCUGACUUAGGGGUAACUUCAGGAAACUCGGGCUCAUACCGGAUAGGAGCUCCUGCUGCAUGGUGGUGGUUGGAAAGUUUCGGUGGUUGGGGAUGGACUCGCGGCUUACCGGCUUGUUGGGGGGGUAGUGGCUGACCAAGGCUUUGACGGGUAGCCGGCCUGGGAGGGGGACCGGCGACAUUGGGACUGAGAUACGGCCCAGACUCCAACGGGAGGCAGCAGUGGGGAGUAUUGCACAAUGGGCGGAAGCCUGAUGCAGCAACGCCGCGUGCGGGAUGACGGCCUUCGGGUUGUAAACCGCUUUCGCCGGUGACGAGCCGUGAGUGACGGUACUGGGUCAAGAAGCACCGGCUAACUACGUG
rnacentral:rRNA from 1 species